rnacentral:misc_RNA from 1 species
AAGUCGUAACAAGGUCUCCGUAGGUGAACCUGCGGAGGGAUCAUUGAAGAAUUUUUAAUUCGAGGGGGGAUAAUUCUCCCCUUGGAUUAUUAACCAACCAACUUACAUGACUAGGAAAAGAAGAACAGGGGAGGGAGAGAAAGGAAGGAAGGUGCCAUGAGUUGUUGGCCCUGCCCCUUGUCCUCACACCCUUUGAAAACCAAAAGUUCUUGGCUGAUAAGCAGUUUGUGAUUUGGACAAAGAAAAAUACAAUACAACUUUCAACAACGGAUCUCUUGGCUCUCA